rnacentral:rRNA from 1 species
CAUGCAGGCGGUCGGGCAAGUAGGAUGUGAAAGCCCCGGGCUCAACCUGGGAACUGCAUUCUAAACUGUCCGACUAGAGUAUUGCAGGGGGAGACGGAAUUCCAGGUGUAGCGGUGGAAUGCGUAGAUAUCUGGAAGAACACCAAAGGCGAAGGCAGUCUCCUGGGCAAAUACUGACGCUUAUAUGCGAAAGCGUGGGUAGCAAACA